UGCAGAUGCAAAACAGUAUGUAGCCUCAAGAAAUCUCAGCAGCUCUAUUUAAACAUUUAGUGAAGUGAGUUGAGUUGGACACAUUUACCUGAACAGGAUGAAGGUUUUAGUUGUCCGUUUCUGGCUUCUUUUACUGCUUCUGCACCAAAGAAAGGAGAAUCUGGCGUCAGCCCUGUGUUCAGUGCCCACAGUGCUCUGCUGUCUUGGCAGGGAUGACAACUGCAGACGAGAGUGCUAUUGUGAUGAGUUCUGCAUCAUACUCGGAGACUGCUGUUCUGACUACAAUCAGAUAUGCAAUCCUUCUCCACCAAACUCAACAUCUAUACCAUCAAUACUUUCACAAACAGAAACAAAAGCCCCAUUGCUUCAGCCACAUCCAACAUUCCAACAGCUUUCAGUGUCAAUCUCACCCCAGUCAUCAUCCUCACCCACCAUUAAACCAUCACCAUCAUCCUCAUCUUCUACACCAUCAACAAAAUCCUCUUCAUCUUUACCAGUGUCGGCAGUAGCGAUAUUAUCACCCACACCAUUGUCAUCCUCAAUGCCACCAUCUUCUGCAAUAACCUCAAUACAAACUUCAUCAACCUCGCCAUCUUUAACUAUAACACCAUCGACUUCAUCAUCACCAACCACAACGAUCUCAUCAACAAACUUAUCAUCAACCCCAGCAGCACAGCCCUCACUAUCAGCAGCAUCAUCAUCGUCCUCAUCAUCUUAUUCUUCAAUAAAAUCAUCUACAUCAUCUUCAUCAGUGCAACUAUUUUCAUCAACAUUGCCCCAACCAGCACAGCCCUCAAUGUCAACAACCUCUGCAUCAUCUACCUCAUCCUUACCAUCAUUAAAAGACUUACAGCUUACAUCACCAUCAACACCAUCUUUAUCAUUGUCAACACCCUCAGUAAUAUCAACUCCACCAUCCUCUUCAUCUUUACCAUCCACAGCAGCAUCUUCAUCAGUCCCACUAUCCCCAUUUGCAUCAUCAUUGUCAUCUUCAACAAUGACACUUUCAGCAAAACCAAUACUAAUGUCAUCACUCACUCCAUCUUCAUUACCAAAUUCACCAUCCCCAACAUCCCCGUCUUCAUCAAUAACCUCACCACCAUUAUUACCACCAACAGCAGCACCAUCAUCCUCUUUUUCUCCACCAAUCUCGUUGACUUCAAUGACUAGAUCACCAUCAUUACCAACCAUGCCAUUAUUUCCAUCAUCCUUACUGUCAUCACCACCGUCAUCAUCCCCAAACUCUCCAUCAUUCUCAGAAUCAUCUUCACCCCCAUCGUCAUCAAUCUUGCCAUCCUCCCCAAACUUUCCAUCAUUUAGACCAUCAAAACCAUUUAUGGAUUAUAAGAAAGUGACCACAGGCCUGCAUAUGUAUGUGCGCUCCAAGGCUAAUAUGCAAGCAACACUGAAGGCUGUGCAGGAUUUUGUUCUGCACAUGGAGUCCGUCAUGAGGAGACAGCAGGCUGAAGACUGCAGGCUACGAGUGUUACACAGCACAGCUAUGAAAAAUAAACGUGAAAUGAACACCUCACUGAACACGACAUCCAUGGCACAAUAGCUGCUCUAUGUAAAUAUAAUUUUUCUGAAUAUUCUGUGUUUUACAGAAACCUAAUUUUCUGAGUAUGUUACUCAAUGGAAGUGUGCUUUUUCACUAGGUGGCACUACAACAUAAACAUGAGUAAAUAGCCACUCACUGGAACAGACCUAGGCUUUUUGUAAACUGUAUUUUGUCAAACAUGUAAUGGAUAAAAUCUGAUUAAAUAUGUCCAAGAAGAAUAAAAACAUAAUUGGACUUUACAACAAAUUCACAUACUCUAAGCUCUCAUUACUAUAGACAAAAAAAAAUGCAUAGCCGAAACAAAUAUCUGGUUAUGCUGAAAUCCAUAUGAAUUAUUUUUGAGGGGGUUUUUUUGUUUGUUUUUGGCCAAACAAAUGUUGUUGUUUUCCAAUGUUUUUUGUUUAUUUCAUUUUUUUAAUGUGUUAAGUGUCAGAUUUUGUGGAUAUUUAAAUUUACAUUUUUAGUUUGUUUAAAUUUAGUGUGAUGGAAUUUUAAAUCUACUUGCGUACUUUGCGCAUAGAAAAUAAUUGGAAUUACAUACAAAACAUUUUUGAAUGUGCAUUCUUUGAAGCAAAAUAAUUUUCCAGCAUUCCACCAAUUUUUUUUUCUUUUGAGGAACAUAACUUUCUACCUUGAUGCCAUGGGUCAUAGCAGAAAAUGUGUGUUAGGCUGCCAGUAACGGAAGCAAUCUUUAAAAAAUAAAUAAAUAAAUGUACGGUGUUUGUGGAAAUAUUACAAAUUGCUUUGGGUCAGUUACUUGAAGACAAAACAUAUUCCAGAAAAUAUAUAAAUAUAUAGAUUUUUACAGCAUUGUUCCAUAGAAGAGUUUUCCUGCAAUCUUUUCUUAUUUGGAUGAUUGGUAUUUUUCUUCAGACAAACAGGAAGUAACAAUUAAAUAUUAAAUUCCAUUCUAUAGAUGAACCUGAAUGAGAUGCAUGUAAAAAGCUAAAUGUUUACAUGGAAAUGAUGCUGGUCUCUGAGUGUGGAUUUUACUAAUGCUUUAGUUAAAAAAAAAAAAAACUGCAAAGUGCACACUCAGCUGGACUAAGAUGAAGGUCUCAGAUGCUCACUCCUGGCUCCUCUUAUUGUUCCUGGACCAGGUUUCAGGUAACAAGCAUGCUUCAGUCCUGUAAAAAACUAUAGCAAAGAAAAAAAAACAAGAGCUUAAUUUUUUUUUUUUUUUUUUUUUUUUGUGAAUGUGUUUCUGUGUAUGAGAAGUAUGUUUGGAAAAAUUACCAGAAAGGAGAAUUUUUUUAAUAACACAAAACUAUUUAAUCUGGCCUUAAAUUUUUGUGAAAGAGAGCAGGGGACUUUAACAUUUAAGAGAAACUACAGCAAAUAAAAGACUCAGAAGAGCUUAAACGUGUUCGCUCAAGAGCCAAUGAGGAGGCAAUGCUGAAGGCUUUGCAGGAUGGAAGUGUCUUUUACAAAUAAUUUUACCAGAGCACCGCUGUUUGCUUAAAUCUGGUUAAUUUGUGAUCAGUGCAGGGUAAAUGUCUUCUGAAAACCAAGAUAGUACAGGUUUUUUUCUAUUUAGAAUAUGUGACUACAAAUACAAAUUGCAUCUCAACCUUAGAUCUCAAUAUUAGAUUAUGUAAAAUGUGUAUUUUACUGUUACCAUAUACAUUUCUAUAUUCAUUGUAUUAAUGCAUGUUUGUAUUGACCCUUUUCACUAUGUUUCCCAAUAAUCUAAGUGGGUUACAGUCUGUUAACACACUUCCAGUAAACCUCAAUAGACUGUACAACAUGUGUAAAUGCAAGUAAAUGGUUUCAAAAAUCAAUCUCCUCCUCAGUAGCAUAAGGUCCACAAGAAAAACAAUAUUUCAAAAACUUUUGGUGUGAAAAUAGUUAAUUUCUGUCAUUUGUUAAUUUAGUUAUGUCUUAUCAUAGUAUUUUUAUUCAAGUUACAGUUAACUGUAGCAAUAGUUUUGGCUGUUACUUUGCACAUUCUAUAUUUUUGUGAGUUCAAAGGGAGAACUUAUUUUUAAAUCUGAUAUUAUUUAGCACACUCAUUUUAGAUAACACUUGAGUAUUAUCUCUGUUUGUUUUGCGGCUUCAGAUCAUUUUCCACCUCGAGGCCUUGAUGAGAAGGCAGCGAUGUGAAGACCGCAGAAUACGAACGCUAAACAUCAGCAAGAAAUAUUACUGACCAACACAUCAAGUCAUAUUUAUUAUUCUAGAGCAGCAGAACCUCUGUGAGAAUAAGUAGGCUACUUAAUAAUUUUUUACCUGACCCUCAGCGUCUGGUCUCCGUCCAUGUGUUUGGCGGGUCCUCCGCGCGGCGCGCACGCGGUGUGUAAAUGGUGUCACUAGAUGGCACUAGAGGGCCAAACCCAAUGGAACCUCGCCUGAUUUCUUCAGGUAAUAUAUUGUAUUGUUAUAUGCAAUUGUAUUAUAAAGUUUCUGUUGGCCUAUAGCUUUUCAGGUUAUUAUAACUAAUCUCAAACAAUCUAGUAGGCUAUAUAAUUAGCAUAUAAUAAAAACUUCAUUUUAUAGUACUGUCAGAUGAUUAAUCGCGAUAACAUCGCAACAUAACAUAAUAUGUG
ensembl:lncRNA